GAGGAAAGUCCGGGCUCCGCAGGACAGGGUGCUGGGUAAUGCCCAGUCCCGGUGACGGGAAGGAAAGUGCCACAGAAAGGAGACCGCCCUGUCAGAUAUGCAAAUAUCCGGCAGGGUAAGGGUGAAAGGGCGAUGUAAGAGCUCACCAGUCUCGCCGGUGACGGCGGGAGCUCGGUAAACCCCACCUGGAGCAAGGCCAAAUAGGGGAGCGUUUGAGGGCGGUCCGUCCGAGUUCCCGGGUAGGUCGCUUGAUUCCGCUGGCAACAGCGGGGCUAGAUGAAUGGUCAUUGUCCCGACGGCGGGUGACUGCCUCGGGGAAACAGAAUCCGGCUUAC
rnacentral:RNase_P_RNA from 1 species